rnacentral:tRNA from 1 species
GGAUUGUAGCUCAGUGGUAGAGUACUUGCCUAGCACGUGUGAGGUACUGGGUUCGAAUCUCAGCACCA